rnacentral:rRNA from 1 species
ACGAACGCUGGCGGCGUGCUUAACACAUGCAAGUCGAACGGAAAAGCCCUGCUUGCAGGGUACUCGAGUGGCGAACGGGUGAGUAACACGUGGGUGAUCUGCCCUGCACUUCGGGAUAAGCCUGGGAAACUGGGUCUAAUACCGGAUAGGAGCCAUUUUUAGUGUGAUGGUUGGAAAGUUUUUUCGGUGUAGGAUGAGCUCGCGGCCUAUCAGCUUGUUGGUGGGGUAAUGGCCUACCAAGGCGGCGACGGGUAGCCGGCCUGAGAGGGUGGACGGCCACAUUGGGACUGAGAUACGGCCCAGACUCCUACGGGAGGCAGCAGUGGGGAAUAUUGCACAAUGGGCGCAAGCCUGAUGCAGCGACGCCGCGUGGGGGAUGACGGCCUUCGGGUUGUAAACUCCUUUCGCUAGGGACGAAGCUUUUUGUGACGGUACCUAGAUAAGAAGCACCGGCUAACUACGUG